GGGAAGAAAGAAGAUGAAGAGACAUCAGCCAGCCCUGUGGAGGGAGCAUCGUGCCUGGUGAGACUGAACAAGACAUCGACUGCACGAUGCAGGCACAGCUGUAUCAAGGUGAGCAGAACAGAACCUUCCACGCGUCUGCAGCAGCUCCAGUUCCUCACUUCCUGUGGCUGAGGCCUCCUCGACUCCUUGUGCUUGAAGGGAAGUUUUGCCCUGGGUUUCCCAGGGUGCUGCCCCUGACCAGCCCAGGGCAUGGUGUCCCUGGAGAAGGACCUGCUUGCCCUUUGGGACUUAUUUAUCCCUCCCUUCUCUCUUUCCUUAUCUCAUCUCCUUUCCUUUUUCUGUUCUUCCUUCCAGUCCCCAUCCUUUAUCCCCUUUUCCUCUCCCUCCUUCUUUCCUUCCCUCCUUCCUUCCCUUCUCACAACUCGCUUGAGGAGAUUGGGUCUUGGGCUGCUGUGGAGGUGACAGAUGAAGUCUUAGAAGCCCCACUUCAGCCUCUAGAGAGGGGCUCCCCACUUCCAUCCCCCAUGUGGACUCAGCUCCAGAGCCACACAGGCACCUAGGGUUCUAUAAAUUAGUCAUUGCACUCCCCGCUGCAUUUUAAUAAUCGGCCUCCAGCCCUAGCUCAGAAUGAGAACCCAUGACCUUCUCUCCUUCCUUUUGAGGAGCCCUCUCCCACCCUUCCUAUGGCGCUGGUGAAAGGUGGCCGCACUACCUGCUGGAAGACCUACCAGCUUGGACUUAGGAGCUCCUCUGUCCCAGGUGCACUCCAUAUCCAUCGCUGGUCCCUGCUGCCGUUGUUGCACCUUUCCUGGGAUUUGACUUAGGGCUUCUAUUCCUCCUGUCUGCAUCCAGAAUCCAGCCUUUCCUGGCUGGACCUCCCUGCUCGGUCAUCCGGAUCGCUCCCAGGCAGUCUCACCCUGGAUGUGGCUCCUCUCAUGUGCUGGCUGUAAAUGUUUUGUCUCUUCUAAUCUGCCGAGAGAUGCUUCUGGGUAGGACCUGGGUCGGAUUCCUUCCUGCCCGCCCCACAGUUCCCUUGCCCAGGGCCUGGCUCACAGCAGUGCUUGGAACAUGAGUGCUGGAUGAUUCUGGUGAGAAAUGAGGUGUCCCAGCUCAUAUCUUGCAACUGUCAAAUGUCUCCCUGACCCUCCCUUCUCCUUGAAGUUCUCUCCCUUCCCUGAUGAUUUUGGAUGCAAUUUAAAAUAAAAAUAUUGAUUAAAAAUU